rnacentral:rRNA from 1 species
AACGAACGCUGGCGGCAUGCCUAAUACAUGCAAGUCGAACGAGUGCCUUCGGGUGCUAGUGGCGCACGGGUGCGUAACGCGUGGGAAUCUGCCCUUGGGUUCGGAAUAACGUCGGGAAACUGACGCUAAUACCGGAUGAUGACGAAAGUCCAAAGAUUUAUCGCCAUUGGAGCGGCCCGCGUCUGAUUAGGUAGUUGGUGAGGUAAAGGCUCACCAAGGCGACGAUCAGUAGCUGGUCUGAGAGGAUGAUCAGCCACACUGGGACUGAGACACGGCCCAGACUCCUACGGGAGGCAGCAGUGGGGAAUAUUGGACAAUGGGCGAAAGCCUGAUCCAGCAAUGCCGCGUGAGUGAUGAAGGCCUUAGGGUUGUAAAGCUCUUUUACCCGGGAUGAUAAUGACAGUACCGGGAGAAUAAGCUCCGGCUAACUCCGUGCCAGCCGCCGCGGUAAAAC